CGGUUCUGCCCCCGGGUCGUCCGCCCGAGUUCCCAGACUCUGUCCCGGUUCCUGGAGUCCCUCCUCCGGACCCCCCUCCGCCCACCCGGUUCUGUUUGUGGAACGUCUGGGAUCCGUCCCUUGAGGGGGAGGCACUGUCAUGUUCUGGCUGUGCCAGCCUCUUAUGAUUUACUUUUGUGAUUUUGGAUUUGGUGUUUGUUAUAUUAUUCCGGUGUUUCCUGUUUUAUUUUGGUAAUUCACUCCUCCUGUGUCUUGUCUGGUUUUACUUCCCUCCUUUGUUUGUUUUCCCGCCUUUUGUUGAUUGUCUGCCCCGCCCUGAUUUGUUUCACCUGUGUGUAGUCUUGUCUAGUAUUUAAGCCUGUGUGUUUCCCCUCUCUCCUUGUUGGUUCGUCUUGUCUCCCCAGUCCCGUCUACCUUGUCCUCCGUGUUCAUUGUUUCCUCCAGCUCUGGUCUUAGUGUUCCUCCUGCCCGUGUUCUCGUAUCCUCUGGUUUGUAGUUUUGUUUUGUUCUCAGUUUGGUUUUGGUAUGUUUUCUUUGUACUUUGUUCCCCUCCUUGUUUUGUGGUUUUUUGGAUUUUGUCAGCUUUAAAUAAAGCUCGCUUUUAUUUAAA